rnacentral:snRNA from 1 species
AUGUUGGCUUCAGCAGCACAAAUACUAGAAUCGGAACACGAGAGAGAAGAUGAACAGGCUCCCAGGGCAAGGGUGAUUCAUCCUGCAGUUUCAUGAAGUGAUCCAUAUUUUU